GGCGGCGUAGCCAAGGGGCAAGGCAGUUGUCUGCAAAACAACUAUACACCGGUUCGAUUCCGGUCGCCGCCUCCA
rnacentral:tRNA from 1 species